rnacentral:rRNA from 1 species
UACAGAGGGUGCUAGCGUUGUUCGGAAUCAUUGGGCGUAAAGCGCGUGUAGGCGGUCCGGUAAGUCCGCUGUGAAAGUCGGGGGCUCAACCCUCGAAUGCCGGUGGAUACUGUCGGGCUAGAGUGCGGAAGAGGCGAGUGGAAUUCCUGGUGUAGCGGUGAAAUGCGCAGAUAUCAGGAGGAACACCUAUUGCGAAGGCAGCUCGCUGGGACGUAACUGACGCUGAGACGCGAAAGCGUGGGGAGCAAACAGG